UACAGAGGUCUCAAGCGUUGUUCGGAUUCAUUGGGCGUAAAGGGUGCGUAGGCGGCGCGGUAAGUCGGGUGUGAAAUCUCGGAGCUUAACUCCGAAACUGCAUUCGAUACUGCCGUGCUUGAGGACUGGAGAGGAGACUGGAAUUUACGGUGUAGCGGUGAAAUGCGUAGAUAUCGUAAGGAAGACCAGUGGCGAAGGCGAGUUCCUGGACAGUUACUGACACUGAGGCACGAAGGCCAGGGGAGCAAACGGG
rnacentral:rRNA from 1 species